AAUGCGCAUGCGCGAGGCGCGAGCGGUUUCUCCCGUCACAGUGGUUCCCACGGUUGUCUUAGAAACCAGACCCCGAGGCUUGGCAGAGCAGGAGCCCUCGGUGGCAGUGCUUGGGUGUCGAGGCUCUGAGGCUCCGGCCUCACCUCUCCACGGGGUCGAAGGGAACGUCUCCGGAUGCCAGGAGUCGCAAAGGGCCGACCAUGAUGAUGAAACCCCAGGCAGAGACGGGGGAAGCAGCACGGGAUCCCAGCCUCAGGCCUGCACGGACGGUGUUGGUUGGGAGACGAGGUCUCACUAUAUUGACCAGGCUGGUCUUGAACUCCUGGCCUUAAGCGAUCCUCCUGCCUUGGCCUCCCAAAGUGCUGGAGUUACAGAUGUGAGCCUCUGUGCUCAGUCCAUCCUUGGCUGUUCAAGUGUAGAGGGACACGGCUUCCCCUGAACGCGGAUCCUAGAGGCCAGGCAGAAGCAGCAUGGGUUUCCACUCACACGGUAGGCGGCUGUGCAAUUUCGUCUGGAGUCCCCAGACCCCUCCUCAUCCUUCCCAGGGUUGCUCUGAGGCCAUUCCUUGUCAUCUAGGAGGGGUCUACAUAAAAGCAUUUAUAAACACCUCCAAAUGGGAGCCAGGCGUGCCCACCUUUGGAGCACUUUUCUCUACUGCAAAUUUAUCUACUGCUCGUGAAAUCUCUGGAUUUAACUCUGAUGAAAGACUGGAGGCUGAAGGAGAACUUCAAUAUCAUAUAUUUUAAAGGUUGAUUCACAGUUUGGAGCAAGAAUUAAAGAACCACGAACUUCAAGGUAAAACGGGCAACGGCGUUGGGGCAAGCCUCUCUGCAUCUGCGUGUCCAGCCUCUCCUGCGUGCCAGAAGUUCCCAGGCAGGAGUGUGGUGGGACAUCCGGCUGGGGUGAUGUAAAAUUCUCAAACAAUGAGAUAGAUAAAAAGUACGCAGCCAAAAAGUUCAAGAAGAAGUGUUAUGGAGAUGGAGCAGGCCCUUCGUAAAAACACGAUGUUGGUUUUCUGGAUUUUGGAGGCCUCACAAAACCCGGAUCAGACUCGCCCACUGCCCUGUGUCUGCCCUCCCGACCGCCUCUCCUGCCCAGCAGGGAUGAGGGUGGCAGUGGUGCUGUGUGGAGGGUGGCGGGAGGACCUGGAAGACUGCGACCAGUGAGCCGGGAGGCCUUGGGACAGCCUCUCUCUGAAUCAUCCUGUGCACUGCCGGGUGUGACAGAGGCUCCUAGAAUCCUGUCUCAAGUGGCCGCCUUCACAGAGGGAGUCACUGACGUCCCUGCUCAGCGCAGCCCUGGCAUGUGGGGGUCCCUCUACUCAUGAGAAACCCCCACCCAAUCACCGUGAGGUGUGUGACCCAUGCUCACAUCCAGGGGCCACUCAUUCAUUCAGGAAACA
ensembl:lncRNA FAM27C family with sequence similarity 27 member C